rnacentral:rRNA from 1 species
UUUUAUGGAGAGUUUGAUCCUGGCUCAGGAUGAACGCUGGCGGCGUGCCUAAUACAUGCAAGUCGAGCGAACAGACGAGGAGCUUGCUCCUCUGACGUUAGCGGCGGACGGGUGAGUAACACGUGGAUAACCUACCUAUAAGACUGGGAUAACUUCGGGAAA